CCUACGGGUGGCAGCAGUGGGGAAUAUUGGGCAAUGGGCGCAGGCCUGACCCAGCAACGCCGCGUGAAGGAAGAAGGCUUUCGGGUUGUAAACUUCUUUUCUCAGGGACGAAGCAAGUGACGGUACCUGAGCAAUAAGCCACGGCUAACUACGUGCCAGCAGCCGCGGUAAUCCGUAGGUGGCAAGCGUUAUCCGGAUUUACUGGGUGUAAAGGGCGUGUAGGCGGGACUGCAAGUCAGAUGUGAAAACCACGGGCUCAACCUGUGGCCUGCAUUUGAAACUGUAGUUCUUGAGUACUGGGGAGGCAGACGGAAUUCCUAGUGUAGCGGUGAAAUGCGUAGAUAUUAGGAGGAACACCAGUGGCGAAGGCGGUCUGCUGGACAGCAACUGACGCUGAGGCGCGAAAGCGUGGGGAGCAAACAGGAUUAGAUACCCCGGUAGUC
rnacentral:rRNA from 1 species